rnacentral:rRNA from 1 species
AUUGAACGCUGGCGGCAGGCCUAACACAUGCAAGUCGAGCGAGCGGCGGACGGGUGAGUAUUGUAUGGGGACUGCCCGAUAGAGGGGGAUAACUACUGGAAACGGUGGCUAAUACCGCAUACUAUCGGAUAACCCAUAUGGGAUUAGCUAGUAGGUGGGGUAACGGCUCACCUAGGCGACGCUCCCUAGCUGGUCUGAGAGGAUGAUCAGACACACUGGGAGUGAGACACGGCCCAGAGUCCAACGGAGGCAGCAGUGGGGAAUAUUGCACAAUGGGCGCAAGCCUGAUGCAGCAAUGCAGCGUGUAUGAAGAAGGCCUUCGGGUUGUAAAGUACUUUCAGUCGGGAGGCGUUACCGACAGAAGAAGCACCGGCUAACUCCGUGCCAGCAGCCGCGGUAAUAC